UAACCUGGACUUUUUCUGCCAAAUUACUAUCAACAAAGGUUGGGACUGAUAUAAACAUGACUACACAAAUGAAAAGAACAUUAGUACAUUAGUAAUUUUAAAAAUAAUGAUAAGGUUGCAUUAAAAGAUGACUGCACUGAAUAACACAAAGUAUAUAUCUGAAGAAUUAGAAAAGCAGCAACAAAGCAUGUUGGAGAGUCAAUGCAUGAUGAUCUCUGAAUAUUCUACUGAAAUCUAAUCAAUAUGUCCUCACUGCCAUCAAUUCAAAAGAACUUGCUAAGAAGGCUCUAGAGACUUGUACUCUCAGAUAGUGAAAGUGAGAUGAUGUGUAGUGAAAGUCAUAUAUAGGUUGUAAAUUGCAAUAUGGAAUUCCC
rnacentral:lncRNA from 1 species